rnacentral:rRNA from 1 species
AUUGAACGCUGGCGGCAUGCUUUACACAUGCAAGUCGAACGGUAACAGGCCUUCGGGUGCUGACGAGUGGCGAACGGGUGAGUAAUGCAUCGGAACGUGCCCAAUCGUGGGGGAUAACGUAGCGAAAGUUACGCUAAUACCGCAUAAGCCCUGAGGGGGAAAGCAGGGGAUCGCAAGACCUUGCGCGAAUGGAGCGGCCGAUGUCAGAUUAGCUAGUUGGUGGGGUAAAGGCCUACCAAGGCGACGAUCUGUAGCGGGUCUGAGAGGAUGAUCCGCCACACUGGGACUGAGACACGGCCCAGACUCCUACGGGAGGCAGCAGUGGGGAAUUUUGGACAAUGGGCGCAAGCCUGAUCCAGCCAUGCCGCGUGCGGGACGAAGGCCUCGGUUGUAAACCGCUUUCAGCCGGAAGGAAAUACGCCAAGGCUAAUAUCCUUGGUGGAUGACGGUACCGGAAGAAGAAG